rnacentral:rRNA from 1 species
CGGCGGCCGUAACUAUAACGGUCCUAAGGUAGCGAAAUUCCUUGUCAGGUAAGUUCUGACCCGCAUGAAAGGCGUAAUGAUUUGGGCACUGUCUCGACAGCCCGCCCGGCGAAAUUGUAGUACCGGUGAAGAUGCCGGUUACCCGCGACAAGACGGAAAGACCCCAUGGAGCUUUACUGUAGCCUAAUAUUGGGUUUCGAUGUUGCAUGCACAGGAUAGAUGGGACACAGGGAAACAAGUGCUUUGGCAUUUGUGGAGUGGCCGUUGGGAUACCAUCCUUGCGAUAUUGGAAUUCUAACCUGCGCCUUUGAAUCAAGGCGGGGGACAUUGUUAGGUGGGCAGUUUGACUGGGGCGGUCGCCUCCUAAAGAGUAACGGAGGCGUUCAAAGGUUCGCUCAGCUUGAACGGAAAUCAAGCAAAAGAGUGCAAACGCAGAAGCGAGCCUAACUGCGAGACUGACGGGUCGAGCAGUAACGAAAGUUGGAGUUAGUGAUCCGGUGGUAUGUGAGUGGAAAUGCCAUCGCUCAACGGAUAAAAGUUACCCUGGGGAUAACAGGCUGAUCUCCCCCAAGAGUCCACAUCGACGGGGAGGUUUGGCACCUCGAUGUCGGCUCAUCGCAUCCUGGGGCUGUAUUCGGUCCCAAGGGUUUGGCUGUUCGCCAAUUAAAGCGGUACGCGAGCUGGGUUCAGAACGUCGUGAGACAGUUCGGUCCCUAUCUGUCGUGGGCGCAGGAUAUUUGAUGGGAGCUGUCCCUAGUACGAGAGGACCGGGACGGACGUACCUCUGGCGCACCAGUUGUUCCGCCAGGAGCAUAGCUGGGCAACUACGUACGGAUCGGAUAAACGCUGAAAGCAUCUAAGCGUGAAGCCGACCCAAAGAUAAGAUAUCCCAUUGUUUUAAACAAGUAAGACCCCUUGAAGACUACAAGGUUGAUAGGCACGAUGUGUAAGUGGAGUGAUCCAUUCAGCAAGCGUGUACUAAUAGGUCGAGGGCUUGACCAC